AUGAACGGAAAGGUGAACCUAGUGGUGCCUGGAGCUCAGAAAGCAGGCAGUGCCAGCAAAUAAAGGGGAGUGUGGGGUAAAUGCAGACAGGAGCCUGAGUGGUCCAUAAGGGGUGAAGGCCUAAGGACCCGUGGCAGGUGGUGCCUACAGGGAGCCUGAAUGUUCAAUUCUGGUGAAGCUACAGGAAGCCAGCCUAGAAGGUCAAAAAGGAAUUUCCUCAGUGGAGAGGAGAGGAAAGAUCCCAUGGCUAACCUGAGCCAAGGUACAGGACGUGUGGGUCAGCGACCACCUGCAAAUUCUCUCGUGAACAUCCUGCUCAGUAGACCAUGAGGAGAGGCACUUCUGUCUCUGGCCCACGAGCCCUUCAUUUCCAGCAGCCAAGCACUGACCGGACACCAGGCAGAGUUAGAAAGGACCAUCUCUUCCGGGGCCCCUUGGAACUUCCAGCUAAGGAGACAACAGGAUAUGAAGACAAGUACACUCACACUCACUCUUUGCUGGGAAGGAACACAAGGAGAAUCCUAUGGAUAUCUCUGACUCAGGGGUGGAGGUCAGGAGACACAAGUGAGUCAUGAGGCAGAAGAGUGUCCUAGAAAGAGGACGGAUCCCGAGCUGUGAAGGAACACGUCAUACCAAAGAAAGGCAAAGGAAGUCAGAGCUGGAGGCCAUGGUCAGAGUGGAGGACUCCAGGGAGACUGGCCGAAGCCUUGGCCAUGUCAAACCUUGCCCCCUCUGGAUGCCGGAUGGAGGGCAGCUGUGGACAGUUACGUCAGAAGGUCCGGGAUGGAGUCAGGAUGUGCAACUGUGGUGUCUUGAACCUCUGCUCUCAACAACUCAAACAGCUCACCUGCUCUGCAAGGUCCAGUCCCUCCCUCGGGCGGGCUCAGGAGGCGUGGUCACAGAGGGCGUGGUCACUACGGUGACCGCCCAUUGGCUAACUAUCCCUUCAAACCCUUGCCAUUCCUUUCUCAGCCCUUAUUCUCCUCCCUCCCUAAAUCUCAAGUUCCCUUACCUGACCUCACAGCCCUUUUCCAGCCCACUCCAUCACCCACUGUAAAGAACACACUUACAAUGUGUGCAGACACAAAGGAAUCAAUUCUACAGGCCACUAACAGAACCCAAGUGUUACUUGAUACAGCCAGCACACAUUCUGCAGGUUAUAGACAGAUCUCCUCACACACACCCUAGCCUGAUCGGGACCCCAUCUUCUGUCUCAAGCCCCCUCACCAGUGACAACUCUUGGUCCUCGGGUAAACACCAGCUU
rnacentral:lncRNA from 1 species